UAUUUGUGUGCCAUGUCUUUUUUUAGUUUCUUGUUUGGUGAUUUAUGGCUUUAAUUAUUGUUAGGUUAUUCUGAACUUAUACAUAUCUCUACCAAAGCUUUGUGAUUUUGAAACCCUUCAACGUGUUUUAAUUCCAUGGAUUAUGUGCUUAUGUAUGUCUUUAAUACAUUUAGGAUUUGGACGGAUACCCUUUAUCUUGAUGAAGGGGCAUGUUUUGGUUUUAAGGGUUUCAGUAAGGGAUUUUGCAAGAGUAUUACCUUAUAGAGAUUGAAAGAGUUAUGUUUCAGAUUUUGAUUAGGGUUUUUAUGAAUUCCUCUAUGUUUUUUGUGUGUUUUUGUAUUAAGAUGUAUUAUUGGAUCUAGUUUGCGUAAUGGAAACUAUAAUGAUUUGCGAUCUACUGAUUCCAUCUACGGGAUAUUAGUUUUAUCUUGAGUUUUGUUGUUCCUUUUCCCGAUAUUUCCUCUCUUCUGUGAGAGUUAUUUGUUAGAAGUGUCUGGUUGGGAAAUUUGAUAAACUAUAUUAUUUGUUAUUUAAAAUUUGUUGUAUUUUGCAAGGAUAAUAUGUUAUGUAGGUAACUUAGUUGGCUUUGAAAAUGAUUGAGUCAUUUGAUCUCUUUGUUGUAUAGGACCUUGUCAAAGGAAUUUGUAUAUAUGACCCAUGGUUGAGACAUUUGUGAAGAGUGUCAUGGCAAGCACAGCAUGUUUUGUCAUUGUUAGCAGGAAUGACAUUCCUAUAUACGAAGCUGAAGUGGGCUCUGCGCUUAAAAAAGAAGAGGCAGCUCAUCAACACCAAUUUAUAUUGCAUGCGGCAUUGGAUAUUGUUCAAGACCUUGCAUGGACAACAAGUGCUAUGUUCUUGAAGGCAAUGGAUAGAUUUAGUGAUCUGGUGGUGUCAGUUUAUGUUACUGCUGGUCAUACUAGAUUGAUGCUUCUUCAUGACUCCCGCAAUGAGGAUGGCAUAAAGAGCUUUUUCCAAGAGGUUCAUGAGCUUUAUAUAAAGGCCGAGACAAGAACUGAUGCGACCAUGCUGGGCCAUGAUCUGCCAGUCCUGGCCGUAUGGGCCACAUAUAUCCUAGGCCAGGCUUAACUGGCUGGACCAGGCCAGUCUAGCCAAGCUGGGCCAGGUUGCUUUGGAGAUUCACAAAGACGGAUUCUUCAGAUUCUCCUAAACCCACUGUACUUGCCGGGAUCACGGAUAACUUCCUCUCACUUCGAUACCAAAGUUCGGGCACUUGCGAGGAAAUUUCUCUAGAAUCUCCCUUCUCUUUCUUUCCCUCUCCUUUGCCUUACGGUUGAUUUUUCUGUGUGGUUUCGCCAUUGAGAGCAAAGAUUUACCUCACCUGUAAUUGCUCCAUGUUUUCUAUUUUUAUGAUGCACACCAUUCCAUUUCAGUUUGAGGUUUCUGCUAGCGCCUAUGCUACAGGUACUUCAAAAUUUUUUUAUUGCAAUCCAAAUCUAUUAAAUUUGUCA